GACGAACGCUGGCGGCGUGCCUAAUACAUGCAAGUCGAACGCAUUUUCUUUCACCGUAGCUUGCUACACCGAAAGAAAAUGAGUGGCGAACGGGUGAGUAACACGUGGGUAACCUGCCCAUCAGCGGGGGAUAACACUUGGAAACAGGUGCUAAUACCGCAUAAUUCCAUUUACUGCAUGGUAGAUGGAUGAAAGGCGCUUUUGCGUCACUGAUGGAUGGACCCGCGGUGCAUUAGCUAGUUGGUGGGGUAACGGCCUACCAAGGCUGCGAUGCAUAGCCGACCUGAGAGGGUGAUCGGCCACACUGGGACUGAGACACGGCCCAGACUCCUACGGGAGGCAGCAGUAGGGAAUCUUCGGCAAUGGACGCAAGGCUGACCGAGCAACGCCGCGGGAGUGAAGAAGGGUUUCGGACCGUAAAACUCUGUUGUUAGAAAAGAACAAGGAUGAGAGUGGAAAGUUCAUCCCUUGACGGUAUCUAACCAGAAAGCCACGGCUAACUACGUG
rnacentral:rRNA from 1 species